CCUACGGGGUGCAGCAGUGGGGGAUAUUGCACAAUGGGGGGAACCCUGAUGCAGCGACGCCGCGUGGGUGAAGAAGCGCCUCGGCGCGUAAAGCCCUGUCAUCUGGGAAGAAUAUGACGGUAUCUGAAGAAGAAGCCCCGGCUAACUACGUGCCGGCAGCCGCGGUAAUACGUAGGGGGCAAGCGUGAUCGGGAUUUACUGGGUGCAAAGGGGGCGCAGACGGGGGUGCAAGCCAGGAGUGAAAGCUCCGGGCCGAACCCCGGGACUGCUCUUGGAACUGCGUGGCUGGAGUGCAGGAGGGGAAGGCGGAAUUCCUGGUGUAGCGGUGGAAUGCGUAGAUAUCAGGAGGAACACCAGUGGCGAAGGCGACCUGCUGGACUGCAACUGACGUUGAGGCCCGAAAGCGUGGGGAGCAAACAGGAUUAGAUACCCGAGUAGUC
rnacentral:rRNA from 1 species